rnacentral:rRNA from 1 species
UACGUAGGGUGCAAGCGUUAAUCGGAAUUACUGGGCGUAAAGCGUGCGCAGGCGGUUCGGAAAGAAAGAUGUGAAAUCCCAGGGCUUAACCUUGGAACUGCAUUUUUAACUGCCGGGCUAGAGUAUGUCAGAGGGGGGUAGAAUUCCACGUGUAGCAGUGAAAUGCGUAGAUAUGUGGAGGAAUACCGAUGGCGAAGGCAGCCCCCUGGGAUAACACUGACGCUCAUGCACGAAAGCGUGGGGAGCAAACAGG